rnacentral:SRP_RNA from 1 species
AGCCGGGCCCCGUGCAACGCCGACUUGUGAACCCCGUCAGGUCCGGAAGGAAGCAGCGGUAGCAAGAACCGUCGUGUGCUACGGCAAGCCCGGCUAUC